rnacentral:rRNA from 1 species
UACGAAGGGGGCUAGCGUUGUUCGGAAUUACUGGGCGUAAAGCGUACGUAGGCGGAUGAAUAAGUCAGGGGUGAAAGCCUGGAGCUCAACUCCAGAACUGCCUUUGAUACUGUUUGUCUUGAGUCCGGGAGAGGUGAGUGGAACUGCUAGUGUAGAGGUGAAAUUCGUAGAUAUUAGCAAGAACACCAGUGGCGAAGGCGGCUCACUGGCCCGGUACUGACGCUGAGGUACGAAAGCGUGGGGAGCAAACAGG